UACGUAGGGAGCAAGCGUUGUCCGGAAUCAUUGGGCGUAAAGCGCGCGUAGGUGGCUUCGUAAGUCCGUUGUGAAAGUCAAAGGCUCAACCUUUGAAAGCCGAUGGAUACUGCGGAGCUAGAGUACGGAAGAGGCGAGUGGAAUUCCUGGUGUAGCGGUGGAAUGCGCAGAUAUCAGGAGGAACACCAAUAGCGAAGGCAGCUCGCUGGGACGUUACUGACACUGUGGCGCGAAAGCGUGGGGAGCGAACAGG
rnacentral:rRNA from 1 species